ACACCUCAACUCUCAUGGCUUGCCGUGAUGAGCUUGGACUUUGGGGGUUUUGCUGGCCCUGUGGUCAGCUCCUCUCAAACGCAUUAGCUUGCCAGUGUUUGGUGGCAUCACAGGUGUGAUAAUGUCUACGCUUGUGGUCGCCUGCCAAGUAAUCUUCAGCGAUGAAGGUUUGCUGGGGCUUCAAAACGUCUCCCGAGCGGAGACAGCCUUCUGAAC
rnacentral:misc_RNA from 1 species